rnacentral:misc_RNA from 1 species
ACGUGUCAAACUACCAAGUUUACUGGGUAGUUUUGGAUGGUGAGGGAUGCUGGAUGUAAUGAUCAGCUCCUUUCAAAUACAUUAGCUUGGAAUGUAAAAGCCAUUAAAGCUUGAGCUGAUAUGAAUACUCUGUAUUAACUGCUUUUGCUGAAGUGUUGCUGAAUUCAAGCUUAGAGUUGUCUCGAAUGAGACUGUCUUUAGACAUAGUCUUGA